rnacentral:rRNA from 1 species
CUACGGGGGGCACCAGUGAGGAAUAUUGGACAAUGGAUGGCAAUCUGAUCCAGCCAUGCCGCGUGAAGGAAGAAUGUCCUAUGGAUUGUAAACUUCUUUUGUAUGGGAGCAAUAAGUUGUACGCGUACAAUGAUGAGAGUACCAUACGAAUAAGCAUCGGCUAACUCCGUGCCAGCAGCCGCGGUAAUACGGAGGAUGCGAGCGUUAUCCGGAUUUAUUGGGUUUAAAGGGUGCGUAGGCGGUUACUGUAAGUCAGCGGUGAAAUUUAGGGGCUUAACCCCUACCGUGCCGUUGAUACUGCAGAGCUCGAAUAGGGAUGCUGUUGGCGGAAUGUGUAGUGUAGCGGUGAAAUGCAUAGAUAUUACACAGAACACCGAUUGCGAAGGCAGCUGACAAAUCCCUUAUUGACGCUGAUGCACGAAAGUGUGGGGAUCGAACAGGAUUAGAUACCCGGGUAGUC